UCGGUUGAUCCUGCCGGACCUGACUGCUAUCGGAUUGAUANUAAGCCAUGCGAGUCAUUGUAGUAAUACAAGGCAGACGGCUCAGUAACGCGUAGUUAACNUACCCUAUGGACGGGGAUAACCUUGGGAAACUGAGAAUAAUACCCGAUAGANCAUUAUGCCUGGAAUGGUUUAUGUUUCAAAUAAUUUAUUGCCGUAGGAUGGGACUGCGGCCUAUCAGUUUGUUGGUGAGGUAAUGGCCCACCAAGACUAUUACAGGUACGGGCUCUGAGAGGAGUAGCCCGGAGAUGGGUACUGAGACACGGACCCAGGCCCUAUGGGGCGCAGCAGGCGAGAAAACUUUGCAAUGUGCGAAAGCACGACAAGGUUAAUCCGAGUGGUUUCUGCUAAAGGAACCUUUUGUCAGUCCUAGAAACACUGAUGAAUAAGGGGUGGGCAAGUUCUGGUGUCAGCCGCCGCGGUAAAACCAGCACCUCAAGUGGUCAGGAUGAUUAUUGGGCCUAAAGCAUCCGUAGCCUGCUUUGUAAGUUUUCGGUUAAAUCCAUACGCUCAACGUAUGGGCUGCCGGGAAUACUGCAAAGCUAGGGAGUGGGAGAGGUAGACGGUACUCGGUAGGAAGGGGUAAAAUCCUUUGAUCUAUUGAUGACCACCUGUGGCGAAGGCGGUCUACCAGAACACGUCCGACGGUGAGGGAUGAAAGCUGGGGGAGCAAACCGGAUUAGAUACCCGGGUAGUCCCAGCUGUAAACUAUGCAAACUCAGUGAUGCAUUGGCUUGAUGCCAAUGCAGUGCUGCAGGGAAGCCGUUAAGUUUGCCGCCUGGGAAGUACGUACGCAAGUAUGAAACUUAAAGGAAUUGGCGGG
rnacentral:rRNA from 1 species